rnacentral:rRNA from 1 species
AUUGAACGCUAGCGGGAGGCUUUACACAUGCAAGUCGAACGAGUGGCGGACGGGUGAGUAAUAUAUCGGAACGUGCCCAGUAGCGGGGGAUAACUACUCGAAAGAGUGGCUAAUACCGCAUACCAUUAGAGCGGCCCAUAUCGGAUUAGCUAGUUGGUGGGGUAAAGGCUCACCAAGGCAACGAUCCUUAGCUGGUUUGAGAGGAAGACCAGCCACACUGGGACGGAGACACGGCCCAGACUCCUACGGGAGGCAGCAGUGGGGAAUUUUGGACAAUGGGGGAAACCCUGAUCCAGCCAUCCCGCGUGUAUGAGAAGGCCUUCGGGUUGUAAAGUACUUUUAGCGGGGAAGCGGUAUCUGCAGAAGAAGCACCGGCUAACUACGUGCCAGCAGCCGCGGUAAUUC